CCCCAGCGCCACAAGUGGUUAUCACGAUUAUUGGGCCUAAAGCGUUCGUAGCCGGUUUGGUGCAUCUCUUGUGAAAUUGUUCGGCUUAACCGGACAGCGUGCAGGAGACACGGCCAAACUCGAGACCGGGAGGGGUUAGAAGUAUUCCAUGGGGACUGGUAAAAUGGGAUAAUCCAUGGAAGACUACCGAUGGCGAAGGCAUCUAACCAGAACGGAUCUGACGGUGAGGAACGAAAGCCAGGGGAGCGAACCGG
rnacentral:rRNA from 1 species